AGUGAACGCUGGCGGUAUGCCUAACACAUGCAAGUCGAACGGCAGCACAGUAAGAGCUUGCUCUUGCGGGUGGCGAGUGGCGGACGGGUGAGGAAUACAUCGGAUUCUACUUUUUCGUGGGGGAUAACGGAGGGAAACUGACGCUAAUACCGCAUAUUACCUACGGGUGAAAGCAGGAGAUCUUCGGACCUUGCGCGAUUGAAUUAGCCGAUGUCGGAUUAGCUAGUUGGCGGGGUAAAGGCACACCAAGGCGACGAUGCGUAGCUGAUCUGAGAGGAUGAUCAGCCACACUGGAACUGAGACACGGUCCAGACUCCUACGGGAGGCAGCAGUGGGGAAUCUUGCGCAAUGGGCGAAAGCCUGAUGCAGCAAUACCGCGUGAGUGAUGAAGGCCUUCGGGUUGUAAAGCUCUGUUGUUGGGAAAGAACAGAAGCAUGUUUAUCCGCGGCUGUCCUGACGGUACCCAAAGAAUAAGCCCCGGCUAACUUCGUG
rnacentral:rRNA from 1 species